rnacentral:rRNA from 1 species
CUGGAGUUACUAGUAAUCGCAGAUCAGAAUGCUGCGGUGAAUGCGUUCCCGGGUCUUGUACACACCGCCCGUCACACCACGGGAGUUGGAGACGCCCGAAGCCGAUUAUCUAACCUUUUGGAAGAAGUCGUCGAAGGUGGAAUCAAUAACUGGGGUGAAGUCGUAACAAGGUAGCCGUAUCGGAAGGUGCGGCUGGAUCACCUCCUUUCUAAGGAGA